CAGUAGCCACGGGAAAACGGAGGGUGCAAGCGUUAUCCGGAUUUAUUGGGUUUAAAGGGUCCGUAGGCGGAUCUGUAAGUCAGUGGUGAAAUCUCACAGCUUAACUGUGAAACUGCCAUUGAUACUGCAGGUCUUGAGUAAAUUUGAAGUGGCUGGAAUAAGUAGUGUAGCGGUGAAAUGCAUAGAUAUUACUUAGAACACCAAUUGCGAAGGCAGGUCACUAAGAUUUAACUGACGCUGAUGGACGAAAGCGUGGGGAGCGAACAGGAUUAGAUACCCCAGUAGUCCCUGUCUCUUAUAC
rnacentral:rRNA from 1 species